CAGUAGCCGCGGUAAUACGAAGGGGGCUAGCGUUGUUCGGAUUUACUGGGCGUAAAGGGCGCGUAGGCGGGCUGAUCAGUCAGGGGUGAAAUCCCAAGGCUCAACCUUGGAACUGCCUUUGAUACUGUCGGUCUUGAGUUCGAGAGAGGUAAGUGGAACUGCGAGUGUAGAGGUGAAAUUCGUAGAUAUUCGCAAGAACACCAGUGGCGAGGGCGGCUUACUGGCUCGAAACUGACGCUGAGGCGCGAAAGCGUGGGGAGCAAACAGGAUUAGAUACCCGGGUAGUCCCUGUCUCUUAUAA
rnacentral:rRNA from 1 species